UACGUAGGGUGCGAGCGUUAAUCGGAAUUACUGGGCGUAAAGCGUGCGCAGGCGGUUUUGUAAGCCAGAUGUGAAAGCCCCGGGCUCAACCUGGGAAUGGCAUUUGGGACUGCAAGGCUUGAGUGCGGCAGAGGAGACUGGAAUUCCUGGUGUAGCGGUGAAAUGCGCAGAUAUCAGGAGGAACACCGGUGGCGAAGGCGGGUCUCUGGGCAGUAACUGACGCUGAGGAGCGAAAGCGUGGGGAGCGAACAGG
rnacentral:rRNA from 1 species